GUGUCAGCAGCCGCGGUAAUACAGGGGGCUCGAGCGUUAGUCGGAAUCACUGGGCUUAAAGGGUGCGUAGGCGGCCCGCCAAGUGCUUUGUGAAAUCCCCGGGCUCAACCCGGGAACAGCAGGGCAAACUGGCGGGCUUGAAGCAGGUAGGGGCUGGAAGAACAGUUGGUGGAGCGGUGAAAUGCGUAGAUAUCAACUGGAAUGCCGAUGGGGAAGCCGUCCAGCUGGGCCUGUCUUGACGCUGAGGCACGAAAGCGUGGGGAGCAAACAGGAUUAGAAACCCUGGUAGUCC
rnacentral:rRNA from 1 species